AACGAACGCUGGCGGCGCGCCUAAUACAUGCAAGUCGAGCGAGAAGACGUAGCAAUACGUUUGUAAAGCGGCGAACGGGUGAGGAAUACAUGGGUAACCUACCCUCGAGUGGGGAAUAACUAGCCGAAAGGUUAGCUAAUACCGCGUACGCUCCUUGGACUUCGGUUCAGGGAGGAAAGCGAUACCGUGGGUAUCGCGCUCUUGGAUGGGCUCAUGUCCUAUCAGCUUGUUGGUGAGGAACGGCUCACCAAGGCUUCGACGGGUAGCCGGUCUGAGAGGACGAUCAGCCACACUGGCACUGCGACACGGGCCAGACUCCUACGGGAGGCAGCAGUAAGGAAUAUUGCGCAAUGGGCGAAAGCCUGACGCAGCGACGCCGCGUGGGGGAUGAAGGUCUUCGGAUUGUAAACCCCUUUCGGGAGGGAAGAUGGAACGAGCAAUCGUUCGGACGGUACCUCCAGAAGCAGCCACGGCUAACUUCGUGCCAGCCGCCGCAGUAAG
rnacentral:rRNA from 1 species